AUUGAUUUUUAUUGUUGCACCAAAUACGGCUCUGAAGAGAAGGCUCAAUCUAUAUCUAUCCUUAUAAAUUAUUAACGAUAGAACCCUAUCCAACUCAGUAUAAACAAAUCGUAAUUGUCGAUUGUAAUCGACUCGUGGGUCGCGCGUGUGGCUAAUUAGGGAUGAUAAAAAAGCGGUUUACGUAAUUGCGUCUGGUAAUUGCAGGCCGAUACCGAGCGAAGCGAUUCGAUAACCUCAUCGGCCGGUUUUAAUAAUGUUAAGAAUUUUUGCCCGGUCGAAUUGCGGUUGAAAUCGGAGCGGCUCGCAUUCCGAGAGAUGGGUUUCAGUGGAACAGCGAUGUGCGACCAGUGAUAUUAGCGAUAAUAAGAAGAGCAGAAACGAGAGAAAAAAAAAAGAGAUUUUACUCGCGGCUCUUAAAAGGGAACGAGAUCAAGGACCGAAGACGCAUACCUUCCGGCUGUUGAUUGACACCGAUUUAUUUUGCCCAGCCUCCCGUUUUCACGUUUCUGGAAAUUCUAUAGCGGGACAUGCUCGAUUUUAGUAAAUCCAUAAUGGCGUACAAAAUAAAGUAAGUUUCGAAGUAGUUUGUAGGUUAGAAAUUACGUUUACACAAUAAAAAUACUAUAAAUAAUGAGUAGGAGUUGAAAACAAUCCACGUCGAAACAAUAAGCGAGAUAGUCGCGGGAAUGAAUGUUCACUAUUCGACGAUCGUUCGUCACUUGGCAAAGAUUGAUAAAGCAAGGAAGAUGAAUAAGCCUGUUCCGCGUGAGUUGAGCGACGUCCAAAAGCUUAGACGAAUGGAAAUAACCGUUGUGUAACUUGAAGAAAACAAACAAUAUCAAUUUUCGAAACAAAUCGUCACUUUGGAUGAAAAAUUAAUUUUACACAUCGAAAAUAACCGAGCCACAUUUAUUUACGUCGGGGACACUUCAAUGACAAUUGGUAGUGAAAGUAGGCGGUUAUUUUGGGGACACCAUGACAGAAUGACCGUGUCGUUUCGUUCGAGGAAGACGGUGUUUUUGUCCGCGGUCGGGACAACGGCUGCAACAACACAGAGCCAGGCUAAAAGUACGAAGAGAGUGUGGCGCCAAAGAGGACCCGAGGGCUCGGUAAGGUUAGCGACCUUGGCGUACAUGGUAAAGGACAGACCGUGCCGAGGGGCGCCCCGCGUGCAUUCAUCAUUGCUAUCCGGCAAUCAGUGCCAAGCAACAUUAUCGGUCAAUUUACCGUCGCCGUGACCGGUCUCGCCAACGUGAAAAAGCAAAUCUCGUUACAUAGGCCGUGAAAAACGUUCAGACGACAUUUGGCUCUAUUACAUUACGCUUGUUACGACCCUGAUUACACAACGACCAGAGGACUAGGUUAGGAACUAGGCGAUUCAUCGGAUGAUUGAAUUUGGACACAAUUUUCAAUUCAACUAAGCGUAAACCGAAAAGCUAAUACGGUAAAAAUAUUGAAAUACUUUACUUGAUUUCACGUGGUAAGUGAUUUAUCUAAUAAAAACAAACAGAAGUAAUUCUACGGGAAUAACGUUUGAAUGGGUACGCGCGUCACGUGACCGAACAUGAUCAAGAAGAUUGAUGGAACGAUUGAAACGACGAUGUCCAGGAGACAACAUGGCAGGAGGUCGAUAAAUACACCCUGAAUUCGUUACUCGAUAAAAGGAAAGAGGCGGUGGAAGAUUGUCGUACCCGAAUUAAUCUCGUAUUAAAUAAUGCCGUUUAUUGGCACGGCGUGGCGCUUUAUAACAUCAGCAGUCGUAACAUAUAAAUUAUACGCGCCGCGUUUAUAACUUAUACGGCCGGGUUAUAAGUUAUAAAGGCGUCGUACAGUCUAUGAGUUACAACCACCGCGAUGGUAAUUUAUAAGUAACAACUGCCGAAGUUAUAACGCCCGAGGUCCCUCGAGACCUGGCUACCCCGACGCUAUGAUAUUUGUUCGCGACGGUUGCGAAUAGAACGUAAAUUUUCAUAGGCGGGAGGAGGGGUGCGUUCAAAGUCUCGUGAUAUUUAGAUAUUGUGCGGAGUCGUAAACGAAACUUCAUUCCCUCUUUACGGUUCGUUUUCGUGAGACUUUUUAGCGCAGAGUGCGUAACAUAACCUAUAAACGAAACAUAAAACCGACAUAAGGAAAUCUAGAACAGUAAGUAACUGUUUACAUCGCGCAUAGAGACAGAUAUUCUUAAAUGACAGUCGCUAAAACACUUGCGCACAGAUUUUUGUUGCAGCGUAUAUUUUAUUUGGUAGUUUAUCAAAUUAGAAUAUCUGGCACCUCGUGUUUCUAGACUGUAACCAAAGUAUUUGUAUCGUUGAAAUCAUUGUGUUUUAGUGAAAGCUAGUAUAACAUACGAAGGGCGUGGCUUGAGGUCAUGGUGGUGGAGGAAGGUGUGGCCAAGAGGCGUGGCUUAGAGUGGUGGGGGACGACUCCUCAGUGUCCUCAAACGGCCACUCGAUUAUGAUCCGACUUACAAAGUCCCUAGGAGUCCCUGUAUCUUCCAAACGUUCAUUUCGAACCUCCCAGCGUGUAGUUCGAAGGUAUCUCGUACACACUACACGUGAAACGCAUCGACUGAAGUUCAACUCGCCUAUAAAUAUGGACGACCAUCGAUGACCCUCGCCAAGAAAAGUGCGAAGUUCACGCGGUCGGACCUGUGCACACGCAUAAAUCGCUUUGCCCGGUUCGGUGCAUUCCUCCAGAGGCAGCCGCACGUGCGUUCGCACGCGUGUAAAGCGAGAGACCUCCGCAGACAUCGGCGAUGCCACGAGAAACAGGGAAUCCUGAGAAAGACGAGAAGAGGAGGGGCGAACGUGGAAGGGGCCAGGAGGAGGGAGGGCCCACGUGGAAUAUCCAGUGCAGCAUGUAAAAGCCCGUUAUGCUCGGGACUGGCUGUGUUGGCGCGGUGCAUAGGCGCAUGUGCAUUAGUAUGGCGCACGCUAUAAAUAGAUGUAGCAGACC